rnacentral:rRNA from 3 species
UAACGGCGAGUGAAGCGGCAACAGCUCAAAUUUGAAAUCUGGCCCUCGGGUCCGAGUUGUAAUUUGUAGAGGAUGCUUUUGGCGAGGUGCCUUCCGAGUUCCCUGGAACGGGACGCCAUAGAGGGUGAGAGCCCCGUCUGGUCGGACACCGAGCCUCUGUAAAGCUCCUUCGACGAGUCGAGUAGUUUGGGAAUGCUGCUCAAAAUGGGAGGUAUAUGUCUUCUAAAGCUAAAUAUUGGCCAGAGACCGAUAGCGCACAAGUAGAGUGAUCGAAAGAUGAAAAGCACUUUGAAAAGAGGGUUAAAAAGUACGUGAAAUUGUUGAAAGGGAAGCGCCUAUGACCAGACUUGAGCCCGGUGAAUCAUCCAGCGUUCUCGCUGGUGCACUUUGCCGGGCCCAGGCCAGCAUCAGUUUGGCGCGGGGGAUAAAGGUGACGGGAAUGUGGCUCCCUCGGGAGUGUUAUAGCCCGCUACGUAAUACCCUGCGCCGGACUGAGGUACGCGCAUUGCAAGGAUGCUGGCGUAAUGGUCAUCAGCGACCCGUCUUGAAACACGGACCAAGGAGUCGUCUUCGUAUGCGAGUGUUCGGGUGUCAAACCCCUACGCGUAAUGAAAGUGAACGCAGGUGAGAGCUUCGGCGCAUCAUCGACCGAUCCUGAUGUUCUCGGAUGGAUUUGAGUAAGAGCAUACGGGGCCGGACCCGAAAGAAGGUGAACUAUGCCUGUAUAGGGUGAAGCCAGAGGAAACUCUGGUGGAGGCUCGCAGCGGUUCUGACGUGCGAAUCGAUCGUCAAAUAUGGGCAUGGGGGCGAAA